rnacentral:rRNA from 1 species
UGGGGAAUAUUGCACAAUGGGCGAAAGCCUGAUGCAGCAACGCCGCGUGAGGGACGACGGCCUUCGGGUUGUAAACCUCUUUUAGCAAGGAAGAAGCGAAAGUGACGGUACUUGCAGAAAAAGCGCCGGCUAACUACGUGCCAGCAGCCGCGGUAAUACGUAGGGCGCAAGCGUUAUCCGGAAUUAUUGGGCGUAAAGAGCUCGUAGGCGGUUUGUCGCGUCUGCUGUGAAAACCCCGAGGCUCAACCUCGGGCCUGCAGUGGGUACGGGCAGACUAGAGUGCGGUAGGGGAGAUUGGAACUCCUGGUGUAGCGGUGGAAUGCGCAGAUAUCAGGAAGAACACCGAUGGCGAAGGCAGAUCUCUGGGCCGUAACUGACGCUGAGGAGCGAAAGGGUGGGGAGCAAACAGGCUUAGAUACCCUGGUAGUCCACCCCGUAAACGUUGGGAACUAGUUGUGGGGUCCAUUCCACGGAUUCCGUGACGCAGCUAACGCAUUAAGUUCCCCGCCUGGGGAGUACGGCCGCAAGGCUAAAACUU